rnacentral:rRNA from 1 species
CCUGCGCCUGCCGGCGACCGGCGCACGGGUGAGUAACACGUAUGGAACCUGCCCGCCACAGGGGGAUAACCCGGGGAAACCCGGCCUAAUACCCCAUGCCGCCCGGACCGGGCAUCCGGUCCGGGCGAAAGGAGGAAUCCGGUGGCGGCUGGGCAUGCGGCGCAUUAGCUUGACGGCGGGGUAACGGCCCACCGUGGCGACGAUGCGUAGGGGUUCUGAGAGGAAGGCCCCCCACACUGGAACUGAGACACGGUCCAGACUCCUACGGGAGGCAGCAG